CAAUAGCGUAUAUUUAAGUUGUUGCAGUUAAAAAGCUCGUAGUUGGAUUUCGGAUGGGAUUUGCCGGUCCGUCGUUACGAUGUGCACUGGCCAGUCCUAUCUUGUUGUCGGGGACUAGCUCCUUGGAUUCACUUCCUGGGACUAGGAGCUGACGAGGUUACUUUGAGUAAAUUAGAGUGUUCAAAGCAAGCUUACGCUCUGAAUAUAAUAGCAUGGGAUAACACGACAGGACUCUGGCCUAUCGUGUUGGUCUAUAGGACCAGAGUAAUGAUUAAGAGGGACAGUCGGGGGCAUUCGUAUUCCGUUGUCAGAGGUGAAAUUCUUGGAUUUACGGAAGACGAACAUCUGCGAAAGCAUUUGCCAAGGAUGUUUUCAUUGA
rnacentral:rRNA from 1 species